GACGAACGCUGGCGGCGUGCUUAACACAUGCAAGUCGAACGAAGUGGCGAACGGGUGAGUAAUACGUGGGUAACCUGCCCUCCUUUUUGGGAUAAGCCUUGGAAACGGGGUCUAAUACCGAAUAAAGGGGGAUGGGCUCGCGGCCUAUCAGCUUGUUGGUGGGGUGAUGGCCUACCAAGGCGGUGACGGGUAGCCGGCCUGAGCGGGUGAACGGCGACAUUGGGACUGAGUAACGGCCCAGGGUACGACGGGGGGCGGAAGUGGGGGAUAUGGCAGAAUGGGUGAAGGAGUGAUGCAGCGUCGCCGCGUAGGGGAUGUAGGCUUUCGGGUUGUAUAACUCUGUCGGAAUCUAAGGGGUAGGUGGAGAAGAAGCGCCGGCUAACUACGUGCCAGCAGCCGCGGUAAUAC
rnacentral:rRNA from 1 species